UACCAGCACCCCGAGUGGUCGGGACGAUUAUUGGGCCUAAAGCAUCCGUAGCCGGUUCUACAAGUCUUCCGUUAAAUCCACCUGCUUAACAGAUGGGCUGCGGAGGAUACUAUGGAGCUAGGAGGCGGGAGAGGCAAGCGGUACUUAGUGGGUAGGGGUAAAAUCCGUUGAUCCAUUGAAGACCACCAGUGGCGAAGGCGGCUUGCCAGAACGCACUCGACGGUGAGGGAUGAAAGGCUGGGGGAAGCAAACCGGG
rnacentral:rRNA from 1 species